CCCACCCGGUCCGGUCCGGAUCCAGCCCCAACCCACCACCACCAGCUCCACUUCCCUCCGGUUUCCGCCGCCCGCCGAGGCCGUCUCCGGCAAGGACCCAGCCGGCGGCACGACCUCUACCCCGGCGGCGCGCCCGCGGCCAGGCGCGCCCUUUCCUUCCUCCCCGCGCUCCGGUCAUGGCCGGUCUGCUCCUCCUCCUCUCUUCGUCCGGGGCCCCGGGACGUGCCUAUCGCCUCCACCUCCUCGCGUCUGGUUUGGAUUCGCUCCUCCUCGAUUUGUCGCCCGUUUAGGCUUAGAACCACGCCUGAUUUGGUUUUCGCUCGUGCUUGAUUCGCCCGUUCGGAAUUGCGCCUGGUUUGAUCUUGCUCGUCCUCGCCGUCGUCCGUUUGGGGUCGCAUCCGGUUCCAUUUGGCUCCUCCUCGCCGCCGUCGUCCGUGUAGGGUCGCGUCCGUUUCGAUUCUGCUCAUCCUCGCCGUCGUCCGUUUAGAGUCGUGUCUCGUUCGAUUUUGCUCGUCCUCGCCGUCGUCCGUUUGGGGUCGCGUCUGAUUCGAUUUUGCUCGUCCUCGUCGCCGUCGUCCGUGUAGGCCGCUUCUGGUUUGAUUUCACUCGUCCUCGCCGUCAUCCGUGUAGGGUCGCGCCUAGCUCGAUUUUGCUCGUCCUCGCGGUUGUCCCAAUGCGCUCGCGUGUUCUUGGCCCGUCUCGCCUCAAUUAUGUCUGUGUGCGCUUCUUCUGUUAUCCGAACUAGCAAUUCGUCGGUUGCAGGAACAAACAGAAUGGAUCUGGUUUCGAAAUUGGAUUACGGCCGGAGACGGGGUUCGUUUAUCGUGCUAGUUCAGACCGGUUCUUCCGUCCCGUCACCUACGUUGUUCCUGGUGAUUUUCAGAACUCAAACGUAUGCUCUCCUGUGAUACUCUGUCACUUCUUGGCCCUCUGCCAGUUCUUGUUGGCCCUCUGUCAGUUCUUGUUGGCCCUCUGUCAAUUCUUGAGUUCCAGGGUCUGUUAAUUCUUGAGUUCUUGUUGUACCGGCUAGGCGUGUGUGUGCUCUCGUCCUAGAUUCAGAGAUGGGGUGAUUCCUUAUGCUUGAUCUGAUGGUGUAUACUGUUUAUGUUCUGUCCAGUUUGUUUCUUUUAUCAUGCUUUGCUUGUGUGUCCCGAGAAGAAAAGUUUUACAAGAGUGCAAACCAUGUGGCCUGCUGCUUGACUAAUUGAACACUUGCUCCUGCUACUGUUGGACAAUGUUCCUUCUUUUCUUCCCGAUGUUGCUAUUUCCUUUGAAGUACUCAUACAAGUUCUAGGUGAGCUGCUGCUAGUUAGUUCCCCUUAGACUACAUUCUAGAUUGCAUAGCAUAACUCCGGUAUUUUGUCAUUGCACACCUGGGCAUAUCUGUCGUGAGCAUAACUCCUGAAUUUAUUUAUCCAUGAAAGCACGUUCAUCACAUGUUUUUUUACCAAUGCUGCUAACUUCUGUCAUGUCCCUUUCCUUUGGACAAGAAUUUCAACGAACCUAUAACGUGGACAUGUGCUUCUUGUUUUCUUGUGAUGAUGGUGAUCCAAUAGAGUAGCCCAACUCUUAUGCUCUGACAUUUGUUAAUCCCUAGUUAGUGUGCAUGAAAAAAUAUUGUUUGUCAUGUUAAAUUGUAUGGCAUCAACUCGGUAUUGUGAUUAAUGACUUAGUAUUUGUUUAGUGUAGACAGUUGACUUCUUUUUUCUUAAGUUUUUAGUGAUAUGCGUGUUUUGUUAUGUCUUAUGGGGAUAUCAUAUUCUUUCUUUGUAUUACUAAUGUCCAGUCAAUGGAAAAUGCUUUUCUUACUUUGCCUAGACUUUGUGACAAUUAACUUAUAGUGCAAUCAUUGAUCAUUGAGCUUCUGACACCCUAUUCCGUAAAACUCUGUUGUAAUGCUUGCUGGAUCAUUAAGUAGUUAAUAUUGAUUCUGAGUUUGUUGGAUCAUUAACUUCUGCGUGCGCUUGAGUUAUCUGAGAGGCACUCACAAUCCUGUGUUUCGUAUUCGUGGCGGAGCAAUGAACGAUUACGUAUCGUAUCCCUGUGUUUUGUGUUCGCCCAUCUAAUUUUGAAUUUAGAUUACGGAGACGGGGAGAGGCCAAGGCAAGGUCAGAUUAUUGUGUUCGCUCAGAUCAGUUCCUCGGUUCCGUCACUGCGUUGUUCGUCGGCAAUUUCCAUACCUCAAACGCAUGCGCCCUUGUGAUACUCUGGUUUGGCGCACUAGUCGUUAUGGUUGUUCAUUAUGGUUGUUCUUAUGUUCUUGAAUCACCCAUCUUAUAAGCAGAGAUGGGAUGAUACAUUAUGGUUGUUCUGAUGGUUGCUUAUUUAGUGUUCUUUCCAAUCGGGUUCUUCUUGUCAUGCUUUGCUUAUGUUCCCAAUGUCUAUCUUUCCAUAUAUGGGGAUGCGUUUAGGGGUGCAAACUGUGUAGGCCAUGGUGCUUUUUAGACUAGCUAUGGUGUGUUUUAUACUAUCUGAUGUGGAAAGUGGAAUUAUUGAUAUCACUUAUGUGUUAGUAUACUUGGUAUGGUGUGUUUUAUUUAAGUAAUUAACCACAUCUCUUACAAAUUUUCCUUGAGUUACAUGUUUAUAUGGCAGGAGUGAUUGUCUUGACGAAUAAUCAUUUGUGCUAACUUGGUAUUGGUAGUUCCUGAUCGUAGGUAACAGACCAGUACUUGUUUAGUGCAGACAACUGACUAUUCUUUUUUUCUGAACUUCUUUGUGAUAUUUCUGUUAUGUGGAUAUCAUAGUCUAAUGCUUUUAUAAGUAUUUAUUAAGGUACAGACAUGUGGAUCUGGACAUUUCACAUUUGUUCUUUAUUGUGUUGCUAAGGACACUGAACGGUUUGUCUGGGCCACCGCACAGCCUAGGUAAUCAGGUUGUAGUGAUUAGGGAGAAGCUUGUAGAACUAUAUGAAUUUGAACAACAAUGGUCGAGAGCAGCACAAAUGCUUAGUGCCAUUGACUUGGACUCAGGAAUCAGGAUGCUUGAUGACAAACAAAUUAUCCAAGUGCGUCCAGAUUGCACGCCUCUAUUUGGAGGUUGAUGAUGCAGUGAAUGUUGAAGCUUUUAUCAACAAAGCCUCAUUUUUGGUCACAAACAGCAACCAGGAAGUUCUGAACUUGCAAUACAAGGUAUUGCUAUGCGAGAAUUUUAGAUCUAAAGCGUAAACUCUUGGAAGCUGCACUUCGAUACUAUGGUAUCUCUCAAAUUGAGCAACGCCAAAUUGGGGAUGAGUACAGACAUUGGAUCUGGACAUGUCACAUUGGCUCUUUAUUGUGUUGCUAAGGACACUGAUGGUUGGGUUUGCAUACAACGCAGUAUGGAGCAACAAAUUGGUCUCAUUGCAAGGUCACUACCUGGACGUAUACGCAAGCAAUGUCAAGAGAGGUGGCAUAAUCAUCUGAAUCCAGACAUACAGAGAGAUGCUUGGACUACUGAGGAGGAACAUGCACUGAAUAAUGCCCAUCGGAAUAAAUGGGUAGAAAUAGCAAAAUUUCUUCCUAGAAGACAUCUGAAUAUUGCAGGAAUGGGGUACUUACAUUUGUGUAACUUCUAUUUGUUAUCAAUUCUUCUCACCUAUAGCUAAAGCAAGACGACAAACCAGGUGAAUUAUUGGAGUUGCAAGAUACAGAGACUCAGUCAUCUUAAUCUUCUUUUGUAAAUAUGACUAUUGGUGCUGCUGGUAAGACUAUCCAUCGGCUUGUAACUCAUGAGAGGCAACCACAAUUGCCAACAUGAAACAUAUUUUUUUUAGGAACGAAGAUCUGAAUCACCCUCACCCCUCAAGAGAAAUCGUUUAGUCAUUCAGGU